UGUGCAUGGUUCCCAAGUUGACGGGGAAACAAAAUUACAACUUUUGGAGGAUUCAGAUGGAGACACAUCUGAAGGCGUAUAAUUUGUUAAAAUAUACGCAGAAGAACUGGAGGAAGGUGCCGAAGAGAAUGAAAUAAAGCGUGAUAGUAUGGCCUUAUCCCAAAUAUACCAGGCCAUCGAUAUGUCUGUGUUUGGCAAAAUUUCCACAGCCCAAACAACA
rnacentral:lncRNA from 1 species